rnacentral:rRNA from 1 species
UACGGAGGGGACUAGCGUUGUUCGGAAUUACUGGGCGUAAAGCGCACGUAGGCGGAUUUGUAAGUCAGGGGUGAAAUCCCGGGGCUCAACCUCGGAACUGCCUUGAUACUGCGAAUCUCGAGUCCGGAAGAGGUGAGUGGAAUUCCUAGUGUAGAGGUGAAAUUCGUAGAUAUUAGGAAGAACACCAGUGGCGAAGGCGGCUCACUGGCCGUACUGACGCUGAGGUGCGAAAGCGUGGGGAGCAAACAGGG